AAAAAUUUAGUUAAAAAAUAACAUUAGUCUGUCAUACUAAAAUUAUCCAAAAGGAUAUUUUUUA
rnacentral:tRNA from 1 species